rnacentral:lncRNA from 1 species
GCCGAAACAUAGACAUUAACGAUCCCUCUUGUUAUAUCUAUUUGUUGCUUUGAUGUUUCAAUCUACCAACCAUUUUGGGAAAGGCAAAUUAACGGAAAGCUUAGAACAAGUGAGAAAGUUUGAAAGGAAAGUCAUAAAUAGUAAGCUCAAGGACGACGUCAUAAUAAAGCAAUAUAGAUGUAAAUAUGAUGGUACAUACAUUUAUAGCCUCCUUAAUGUGUUUUUAAUAUACACUUAAAUAAGAAGGAGAACACAAAAAUGGAAAUUGGAAAUAUGAAGGGAAGGGAAACGACAAAGUGUUAGGUUAGAGACAGAGUACUAGAAUGAAGAGGGGUAUUGUUUAUUGUGUAAUAUCUACUUACUAAUAAUAACCUCAGUCAGUACCCUCAUUAUUCCUGCAUCCUCUUUCGUCUCCUUCAAUGUACUCAUUAUCCUCAUACAGUUGAAGAAAGUUCCAAGAAAGAUAUUAUAAGGUAAAUGAUAUGUAUGUAUAUCGUUUACUAUGUGCAUCCAUCAAAUCUUAAUGA